rnacentral:rRNA from 1 species
GCUUACGGCCAUACCACCCUGUCUGCGCCUGAUCUCGGAAGCUAAGCAGGGUCGGGCCUGGUUAGUACUUGGAGGGGGGAAUGCCUGGGAAUACCAGGUGCUGUAAGCU